rnacentral:snoRNA from 1 species
CCCAGUUCCUGUUCUAGGGUCUGGGUGUUGUGCAGCCUUCAGAGACCAUCCAGUCUCCCUGUGUCCUACUGGGGGCUGCUGUGGUGUGUGGCUGGCUGCCUGCAGGAGGGAAGUGGUGCCAGCAAGGUUGGAGCCCCUCUUUGGGGGGUUCCAUCCUCACUGAGAUGAGGGAUGAUGUCUGAUCAC